ACCACGUGAUCAUCCACGAGAGCAGUCGCUUCGAUAAUAUGAACCGCAGAUGCUGGAGAAUCCGAGAUAACACGGUGUGCAGCUGGAUGAACACAGCAGGUCAAGCAGCAUCAGAGUAGCAGGAAAGCUGACGUUUCGGGCCUAGAUCCUUCGCUGAGACCAAGACUUGUGCAAUUGAGAUACCAGCGAUCGUUGCCAAAGCCCUCUUACCUGUGCAGAAGGUGAUGUUCAACUUUCGUGUCCUGCUGCAGUUUGUAUGAUGAAGGUGAUCCCACAAUGCGGGCAUUUGAGAAGUUACAGAUCGUUCAUCUAGCGAUACUGAAGAGCUGAUGGUGUUAGUCCAAAUCAACAAACAAUUUGUAUUUUUAUCAUGUUUUACAAUUUGAUUAAAACUAUUAUCACGAAACUUUUGACGUAAGGCCAUGUUAGGUCAGGUGACCAAAAAGUAACCAAAUUUGCAGGUUUUCCUGACUGUCUUAAAGAAGACUUCCACAAUUUUACUUCUGCACUGUUCUUAACCUUUCAAUGCCUCUGAAAGACUGAGUUACAGAUUUACACAAUGCCUGUCCUUCCUCCUUGGCUCUUCCACCUCUCUUUCGGUAAUUUUGUGCAAACACUGACUGGAUACCUUACCUGGAGGAUAUUUAUGAAUGGAUUUGUUCUAUUGAUAAUCCAAUAUAUUCCCCAAGUGUCGCUCCACAAAUGUCCAGAGGAUUUCUCAGUUUCACAGUCUGUCUUCUCUUCUGCUUUCUCACUCAUUGCACGUACUUUCUGUUUGAAAGCUUAGUCUGCAGUUAGAGAAUUCGAGCUGUUCCACAUCCAGGUCUGACAGUCACUUUGUUUAUCACAGCCCAAUUAUCUCGGGAUUUUGAACGUUGAAGGAGAAAGCAGCACUCACACUUUGGAGAAAUGCAAAUGGUUUGUGUAUAAAAGAGUCUGAAGAUUCAUCUGAAAUGUCCUAACACCAUACUGGGGAGACAGUGUGGAAAUGGGCAGAUUACAAGAAGGAAUUUCUUCAUCCAUCCCAGCUGGAAACUGACCACCAGAGUCACACUGGAGAGAGACCAUUCACCUGCUCUGAUUGUGGAAUGGGAUUCGCUCAGCCAUCUAACCUGCUUAAACACCAGGGAGUUCACACUGGAGAGAAACCAUUCACUUGCUUGGAAUGUGGGAAAGCAUUCACUCAGACAACUCACCUGCUGAUACACCAGCAAAUUCACACUGGAGAGAGACCAUUGGCCUGUUGUGUGUGUGGGAAAGUUUUUCUGACUCAAAUUCUCCUCUGACACACCAGCAAGUUCACUCUGGGGAGAGACCAUUCAUGAGCUCUGAGUGUGGGAAAGCAUUCACUCAGUCAUCCAAACUGUCACAAAGAACCACAGUUGAAGGAUUUUGCUAUUACGCUCACGAUCAAAUGAACCAUAGUUUUUGGCUGUUUGUACUGAUGUUACUCAUCCCUGUUCAAUUAAAGGUGCUGGUAUUGUGAGUAAAAUGUUAAUAACAGUUGUAUAUUUGUCAGGUGGAGCUUGGAAAUAGUCACGUCAUGACACAUUCACACUGACAAAGACUAUCCACCAGCACAGUAUGUGAGAAGGGAUUUCCUGGUUCAUCAGGACUGGUUAAAUAGCAGCAAAUUUGAGUGACUCUUGGGUUUUUUUUUUAUUCUGCUGUUAGCUGUCUCCAAACCAGGUAUUUUUGGGCUUGUUUCUGGGGAUCAUAGAAUCCCUCCAGUGUG